rnacentral:lncRNA from 1 species
GAAUAUUAUUAAGAAGAUUGAAAAUAUCGAUGUGGAUGGUUCGCGACCAAAAAUAGAUUGCGUGAUAGCAGAUAGUGGCGUGCUUCCACUUGAGAAACCUUUCUACGUUGAAAAGACACCAGUACGAUGAACUGUUCUAGACUUGAGUAGCUAAUACUCAGUGAGCUCCAUAUAUAUCUGGAGCGAGAACUCGAGUCCAGAAAGUGAAGCCGAAGAUGCAUGAUGGAUCCGAAACUGAAGGGAAUGGACGUCCAGUGCCAGUCUCUUUCUAUUGUUUUCGUCUGCGCGGUCGGGCAUGAAGCUGGCAAGGAGUGUGCCGAAAUUUCGUAUUUUGACUUCGAUUUAAAGACUAAUGUUAUGAUUUUAUGAACUGAAAACGUGAUUAGCGUUACGGUCCCUUUGGAAUUAGCUGGGAAAAAUGGUAUUAAAACUGUAUACGACCUUCAUAACUAUUGAGUAUUGGACGCAUUGAUGUCACCCUCCGCCAUCUUGGCUUCACCUUUCUCAUAUGCCGAAUGACUGGAGUUCUUGCUCCAGAUAUCUAUAUAGAGCUCACUGCUAAUAGACCCUUUGCAAAAUAGAGAGUUUGAGCAAGACAACGAAGUACGAAGACGAAGGCAUACUUGACAAUUUUUGCCAUCUGUACAUUAUCUUGCACAUACCGGUGUUGACGUAAGUGGUGGUUGCUCAACGUGUCUUCCCAUGUGUCACUGUUUAUGAUACUGACCAUAAUUCAUGCCCUGAUACAGAAAAAAACAGCGAGACAUGAAACUAUAUCCUGUCUUUGUCCUUCUGCUUUCGUGCAGAACGAAGUUCACAACGAAUUUUUCCAAAAUAUUCGUUGUGAACGAAGGCAGAAGACGAAGACGGGAUAUGGAUUCAUGUCUCGCUGUUUUAUCCUGAUCAGGGUAAGGAUUUGAGUCAGCAUUCACAAACAGCUAGACAUGAAUCUCUAAUCUGUCUUCACUCCUGACCCUAAACUCAGAAUGUGCAAGGUAAUGUGCAAGACAGGCAAACAUUGUCAACCACGUCGUCGUCGUCCGACUUCGUUGUCUUGCUCAAACUCUCUAAUAUCUGUUCGGGUACAACAACCACAUACAGCGCAAAAACUAACCAUUUUGAUACAGAAUUAUUAUAAAGUUUUACAAAAUUUGCUUUGUUUACAAAAGUUAUAUUGUGCAUAGAUUGCUAAUUUGUCCUCUAGAUGCAUCGUUACUGGCGCUGUGACGUCAUGUGCAAUGGGUCUAUACUUUGGUAUCGGUGCAAGCAUGUUAUUUUAAUGGCCAGUUUGGUCUAUCGAUAUUUCCUUACAGACAAAUGUGCAAUGUGACAAAAGGCAGGUUAUAAAGAUACCCAAGUUCCGAUUUAUUGUUUAGCAUUUUCUUGUCGAUGUGUCUAUGUUUAGUCGUAUUAACGUUAGUCUAUGUCAUGUACAUGUCAUCAUACAUGUAGACAUCAAUGCAAAUAACGAAAUGACGCUACCCAUACCCGUAAAUUAAAUAGGAACCGCUGCAAUCUUAAACUCUCAUUAAUGGACAUUAACCAAUCGGAUACGUUUGAUACAUCCGAUUAACCAAUCAGAUCGCGUACUUAGCCUGUGCAAGGUAGUCGUUAGUGGUAGACUAAUUAGAGAGGUUCAGAUUUGACUUCCGCUGUCACUACCUUUCACUGGCUUAAUACGUAUCUCAUUGGUUAAUCGAAUAUAUCAAACGCAUCUGAUUGGUUAAUCGGAUAUUCGGAUAUAUCAAACGCAUCUGAUUGGUUAAUGGACCAUUAGCGGUAGUGGAAGUCAAAUCUGAACCUCGCUAUUAUCUCGGUAGACAAAUGAUCUAGUCAGUGAGUGUUGCAAAAAUAUACCUAUUACAUUUAAUCAGGGAGUGUUGCAAAAAUAGAGAAUAAUACAUGGGUGCGCGGAAAUACCAGAUUUAUUUCGAAUGUUGCACAAAAAUAUACCUGUUACAUUCAGUCAGGGAGUGUAAUAUACUGGGGGAAAAAUUGAAAUUUUCUACUACACUGACGCAGGUUUGUAGUUCGCUCCAGUCCUUGCAGGUAACGCGGUUACCUCCGAUCCCAACAUCUGACAGCCAUGGUGCAUUGUGAUUCAGGUCAAGCUCGAAGACAAAUAUAUUCGCGCGCUAAACAUGAGGAUAUUACCUGUUGUCACCGAUAGAUCGUUU